UUCCCAUUUCUCAUCCUAUAUCCCUGCUACCCAUAACAGCUCCAUGGGUCCCGUGUUUCUGAGAGCAGCCAAGACAGCAGCUGGAUCUGUUAUGAAAGGAAGCAGAUGAGCCUCGUGUUAUUCUCGCUCUCGUUCAGAGUGAAGUCAGACCCUCUUCUGUCUCCCAGGGCUGAAUAUGAAAGCUAUGAUGGCAUGAGCAUCCUGUGAUUGGCUGAUAUUUUGCUCUUGCAGAAAUCAGCACCUGUUGCUGUAUAUUACUCUGUAGAGACUGAGCCAGACACGAGGCUGAAGGAAAGACGGAUGCAUUCAAGCCCUAGGUAUGCCUUUUGUGGGAUUUUAACCCUUUUAAGCAAAUACAGGAAAACCCAUGGCCAUGGAAUGCUUGCCUGGAGUCACAAGUUGGUUGCUGUUUAACCGGCGAUAGAUCUGUGUAUGGAAAGAGCCUGUAAUUCCAUUACCUUGAAAGAGUUGAUGGAGAGGGGAAGGGGGCUUUUUCUGGAAGCUUCUUUGGUGUGACUUAGUGGAGUCAAACUUCAGAUCUUGGACCUGAGCUCGUCUCUGAAAAGCCGUUGCUGACAUGAAGGUAGAAUUGUAGGAUUAUUUACACGUUGUCUCCAUGGUGUCCGCAAACAUGUUAUGUUCUUUAUACAGCUCUGCACUAAGGAAUUUACAACCAACAGACCAAGUGUACGGUUGCGUGCAGGGGAAACACACUGUGAGACAUUCUUAGCAAGACUCCCUGGAAGUGACAUGGCAACAGGCACCUGUGAGGUAUUGGAGAGAGACCUGGAGGGUCCUGAGGCCAUAGAAGAGCUGCCAGUGCUGGUAGAGAGAAUUCUAAGGCUGUCGAAGGAGGACAAGAGAAAAGAUGCUGAAGUGCCACAAAGUGAAGAGGAGGUAAACAGUAGCUCACACGGGAUAGAGAAGGAGGAGAAGAACACACUGCACGUCAUCGAGAAGGAUCUAGACGAGUUUGUGGAAAGCAUAACUGACACACCAGUGGUCACUGAGAAGACAGUGACGAGGGUAGAAAGGGUGGAGGAGAUAGCCAGCUCUGCUUCGCCACAAGUCCCCAAGACCCUUAAAGUGAAAAGGAAGGCCGAGCCCCACACCAUCAGCCCCAUGAAGGAAGAGGUCCCCUGGGAGGGCCUUACCCUCAACAAGUGCAUUCUCAUCGCCUCCUUUGUCGCUCUGCUAUGCAUGGGCUUCCAGGUCUUCCAAGAUGUCAUCGACGUAGAAGACGAGAUUCCCGAGGCAGAGCCCAGCCUGUGGGCCCAGCCUGCGUGCAGCCUUCCCGAGGAUGGUGCCGGCGAGAGGGGAGAGUUGCGGUUUUUCAAGAGCUGGUUGAGCUGGUGGGAGCCGGAAGCAGCAGAAGAUCCUGAAGCCAAGGUGGAAGGGACGCAGCAGGACUCCCCAGCCAGGGCAGAGCCGAGAAGGGGCCAGCAGAAGCGGAGCGCGCUGGAGAAGCCCAGAGAGAGUGAGGUGGCUCAGCCGGAGAGAGGCAGCAAGAAAGGGAUGCAGCCCAAGGACAGGCCCCCCGAGGGCCAGGCCAGCAAAAUGCACAGGGCCCCCCCAGCAGGCUCUGAGGAGGAGGAAGGGCAGCAGCAUAGCAGGAAGGAGGGCAAGCGGAGGGAGGGGAAGGAGCAGGGGGAGCGGACCAGGCGGGACAAGGGGAAGGGCCGCCACCCCAAGCCCGACUCACCAGCCCAAGGGCCAGGCCACAAGGAGCACCGGCAUGAUGAAAGCGGGAAGCAGAACUCUAAGCAGCAGCGAGGCGAGCACAAGGGCCGGAAGCCCUGGGAGCAGCACAAGUUCAGGGAAGGCAAGAGGCAUGACUGAGAACCUGCCCCCUCGCGCCUGAAUGGUCUUGAGCAAUGAGGUUGAACAACACUAAGUCUGGGGGCACCCAAAUUCCCUGCCCCCCAAGGCUUCAGCCUGAAGGCAGCACAUAAUCACCCCAGCACCAGCCUUUCCUUUCAUCCCCGAGAGCCACGCUCACGUGUGAGAUUUGCUGGCCAUUGUUUUUUCCUCCCUAGACAUUGCUUGUUUGCCGAGUUCCCCAGGAAUUAAACACACCUGCCAUUGAUAACCCCACCUGCGGUGACAGAGCAGCAGCAUGGUUUUGUGGUUAGAGCCACAGACUGGGCAGUGGGAGCUCUGAGUUCUGCUCCCAGCUCUACCAUUGACUUGCUGGGUUGGGCUGGGCAAGUCAUGUCACUUCUUUGUGCCUUAUGUUUCCCCAGCUGUAAAAUGGGGAUGAUGAUACUUCGCUAAGGCCCAGGGGUUGCUGUGAGUGCAGGUGAGAUGCUUUGAGAUCCCUGCAUCAGUGCUGGGUAUCGCUGCUGGAGUGGGAGCACAGACGGUCUUGUCAUGGGCCUUAGGUGCAAAUUUGGACUCCCCUGAGUUUGAUGCUUAAAGGAGAGCUGAAAAGGGGGGGGUCCUUUUGUGCUUCAUGAGAGGUCCCCCAACCCCACCAGAAAUAUUUUUCUGCUUGUUUUGUGACUUUACAAAUAAUCAGACUGUCCUGGUAUUGCUGGAGGACUCUCUGGAGGUUUUUCAUGUACAAAGAGCUCUCUCAGGGUCCACAGAUGUCAGUUUUUAACCUGGAGAGCUUUUCUCCCAACUGUUUGUCAGACAUCUGAAUUAAAUUGGUGUUAACAAAACCAAACCAAAAGACAAAGGUUCUAACAGCCUGAAUGGAAAUCCCAGUCCCUGCCACUGAUUCAGGUUUCAGACCUCCAUGGUGAUGAUGCUACAAUCCUACUCAUUUUCCAGUCAUCUAUAGAGACUUCUAAGGAAAGCUGAAGGUCUAAUGGCAAGGCCAAGCAGGUAGAUGCUG
rnacentral:lncRNA from 1 species